rnacentral:lncRNA from 1 species
AGAGUACUUGGAUCUAACGGAGGACAUGACACAGGACCGAGCACAAUGGCGUUCUAAGAUUCAUAUAGUCGACCCCACUCAGUGACUUGGAUUUUCCAAGUCUCCAACCGAGAAGUUUUCCUCACUCGGGAAAUUAAGGGAACACUACCUCAACCUACAUGCUCCACUCACAAAGCUUCAACAUACAAGAUUCAACAAAAGAAAAAUUCAAAGAACUUAGUGAAGAAGGCUUUGGUGUAUUUAACACAAUACGUUGAAAUGAAGGAAAACUUAUUUAUUG